CUAAAACCUACUACCGAAGCUACGGUAUCAGUAAUGGUGGGUAGGUGAGUUUCACAUACGAGUUGAAGCAUGACCGUAAGGACCUGUGGACAGUAUGGGAGUGAGAAUGUUGGCAUGGGUAGCGAGAUGUGGGUUUGAGUCCAACAGGCCGUAAACCCAAGGUUUCCAGAGGAAGGUUCGUCCGCCCUGGGUUAGUCGGGACCUAAGCUGAGGCCGAAAGGCG
rnacentral:rRNA from 1 species